rnacentral:misc_RNA from 1 species
CGAGUCGACAAUUUAAUAAGUUCACCGGAAAAAAAUGACGCGAUCUAAAUGGCAAAAGAUUUUGUACGAGGAUCAGGGAGUUAGUGAUAAUUAUGUUGAUGAGACAUUUUUGGAUGAACUCAAAAAAAAUCUGUAUAUCAGAUCCUAUGAUUACUGGAGGGCUGCUCAGGAGUCAGGUACAUUUACUCAACAAAUGUGCAGUGUUUGCAUUUUUGUUGUUGUCUUCAUAUACAUGGAUCAAGAAAAGCUGAGCCCCCAAGUACUUUUCAUUGUUUCUUCUCUUUUGACUCUCAUUGGUUAUUGCAUUAAAGUUAUCAUACAUGACAAACAAGAAAUUAACAAUAAAAGAACAAAAAUGGAUGAUCUGAAGACAGCUGUGAUAUUUGUAUCAUUCAGUUUAAUUCUGUGUCCAGUACUUGUAUCUUUGACACAGACCAUCAGUACAGAUACCAUUUAUUGCAUGAGUACAGUAAUGUUGCUCUCCAAUGUUCUCUUCCAUGACUAUGGUCCUUAUUCUGCUGUUGUGUCAAGUCCUUUGUCAUUGAAUGCAGCUAUCUUUGCUGCUGUUUGUUUAGCAUCAAGACUCCACACACCUUUACAUGCUUUCUCGAUUGUGACUUUUGCACUUGAAAUCUUUGCAUUGUGGCCUAUGCUUCGAAUAGAGUUAAAGAAAAGAGGUUCUAUUUGCCAAAAUACAAUGAGUGUUUUAGUUGGUGUGAUAGCCAGUGCAGCAUUGUGGUCUGUGUCACCUUUUGGAGCAACCAUUUUUAUCACUGUUCAUCUCCUGAUCAAUUUUGCAUGUCCAGCAUGGCUUUGCAGGCUUCAGUCAUCUAAGAACAAUAUUUAUGGUCCUUGGGAUGAAGCCAUCAUCAACAGCAUGGAACAUCCAAAGGUUGCUAGAAACUGAUAUCUUCACCAAAGAGUUAAGAAUUUUUUUUCAAUGUUGAUGUAUAUAUUUAAAAGCUGAAAUGUUCCAGAAGUCUUUUUCAACUGUUUUGGCUGGAUGUCACAGAGUGUGAGGUUUCACUUCAAGAUAUCUCUGAAAUUCAGUUAUGGUCUUCCAAGAUGAUGUUUUCCUGUCACCAGUUCAGAAUUAAAUAUAAUCUUUGAAGAGUCAUCCUUUGAAUAUAUCCAAUGCAGUUGAGUUGAUGUCUAAUGAUCAUUGUUUUGAUGCUUGUAAUUUUUUGCUUGUUGUAGGAUAUUGGUGUUGGUCUUUUAUUCCUAAUUAAUACCUAGUGCUGAGAAAAGUUUUGAUGGAACUAUUCAUUAAGAAGUUGAUGUCUUGCAAGCAUAAAGAAGUGUUCUGAUAACUACUGCUUGGUAUGCAGACAAGUUGGUGUACCAAGCAGUAGUUAUAGCACACUGCUCUACACUUGCAAGGCAUAGACUUCUUAACAGACAGAUUGGUGGUAGUUUUGAGUUUGAGGCCCUCGAAAACUUUUUGAUAAAGUAUUCUAUAUGGAGUAUGGGCUGCACAUAUCCUGUUGUUGAUUUUGUCAAUGGUUGUGUUUGAAGAUUAAAAUGGAACCAAGUUAUAGAAAGCAGGAGACCUGUUUGGAUUGUUGCUGGCAGUUAUUGUGAUGUUUUGUUGUGGGUAUCUUGGAGGGAAUUGAUACAGGUUUCUAAGUCAUGCUAAUCAUUAGGCUUAAAUCACUUAUUUGUUAGAAGUAAUUUUGGUCAUGGUUGGAUUCAUAAUUAACAUCUGCAUUCUGUAUUUCUGAAAUGGUGUUCAUUGAUGGUUAUACAUCAACAAAAAUUAGCUUUGAUUGAAGUUACCUGUGUCAUACUUGCUUCUUCUACUUGUGAAAAAGUCUCAUUUUCAUUUACAACAAUCAAAUGAAUAGCACAAAUGUAUAGUGAAAAGGGGGUCAGUGCAAGUAUGUUCUGUAGCUUCACAACAGUUUUCACCUUAAAUGCUAGCCAUGUCAAUUCAUUUGAUAGCACUUAACACUUCAUGUUGUAAAAGAUAGCUAUAAUAUUGAUUGGAUGCUUUUACAUUAUUUUGAAUUAUGGCAAAAAAUUUCAAUGGAAGGCUAAGUUUCUGAAAUAUUUUCCACAGUAUUUUAUACAUAUCCUAUGGAAAGAUAUUACCAGAUCAUAAAACAAGAGCUGUAGGGGCUUGUGCUUUUUGGCUUUUUCUUGCAGUUGACACAUAGCAAAAAUUAUGUCUACAAAAUCUGCUCUGUGACUCAGAGAAAAGUUUCAAUAAUUAGGUGGCAACCUACUAAUAGGCAAGUUAAAAUAUGGAUUCUGAUUAUUAACAGAGAUAUUAUUUUUUAGUAUUAACAAUUGGCCUUUGAUUUCCAGAUACAUUUGAGAAGGCUACAUGCAGCAUUUUUUCAUUAGUGCUAUAUUUGGCAGCAGCCAAAUAUGUUUCAUGUUUUAACCAUUGCCUUAGUUGUGUUGUGAUGACAUAUAUUUCUACUGCUGCUCUACUCACCAAUAUUUAAUACUAGUAAUAAUGAUAUAGAUGGUUAUGAUAUUGGCUUUCAAUAUUAUUUUGGUAUUUUAUUCUGAUUUCAAAUCCUGCCUAUGUUAAAUUUGUUGUUUGUUUGAGUUUUGCUAAAAAUAACUACCAUUAAUAUACUGGAUUUAAUUUAAAUGAUAAUACAUCCUCUUAACCAAAAAUGACUGUUUAGUUCAAAGAAAACAAUAUUUUAACAUUAAAAACUAUCAUUCUUCUUGAUUCAUUUUGAUUUUUGUGGUGUACUAAAAGAUUCAACAAUUAGUUUUAAUUUUUUUAUAUUAUUAAUGCAUAAUAACCAAAGAUAUUUUCUGUCUGGUGCAACAGUGAAGAUUAUUCAUAAGAUUUUUAUGAUGGAAAGUUCUAACAUCACUUUUCUGUACUUCAGUAUAUGAAAAGUCAUGUUUUACUGAAAAUUCACUAUUGUUGCCUCCUAUUUUAAUUGUUCUAGAUGAGACAACUCUAGAUUUCUUAUCUCUGGAAAUUAACAAUUUUAUAAUCUGCUCUCCCUUUUGGAAAAAAAAAAUCCAUUAAGCUGGUCAACUCAUUGAAAUCCACUCAGUCUUCCAUGUAGCUGGAUGUCUUGGGUCUAGUGAGGCUGAUGAAAGUCUAUAUUGAUGUAGAAUUUGAUACUUGUACUAGUUUUUUCAGGAUUUGUCAUAUGGUUAUUGAAAUAUAUUUUUUCAGAUAACAUGUUUAUGUUAUCAAGAAUCUUUAUAAUGUGAAUGAAAUCUCAAUCUGAAGUUGUUGCUUGUAAAGCAAACAUUUCUAAAAGUUUUGGUAAAUCUGUGAUAUGUGUCAAAAGAAGUAAUGAUCUUUGUAGCUUAUUUUUCUGGGGUUUAAAAUUUUUUUUUUUAUGCUGAUUAGAUACAUCCUCAGAAAUGUGCUUAUGAGUAAGGAUUUCAAAAAAUGAAAAAAAGAAACAUAUUCAUUAAUUAUGAUGUAGAAAAAAUUACUUAGUAAACCUUGCAACUCUAUUGAGAGUUCA